rnacentral:lncRNA from 9 species
CUCUUCUUUCUAAGUUAAACUAUUAGAGUUUGUUUACCUUUGUUUUUAUCUUGAUUUUUCUUUCAUGUUCCAACUUCCUGAAAUAGUUGGCAGAAAUUCAGGACUCUUGGCUGCUCUGGGAAUGUAGGUGGAGCUUAUCAACUGAGUCUGUGUUGUGGAAACAAAAAGAAAGCAGGCCAAUGAUGUUUCUGGACGCUCAGUGCCCCACGGAGAGGUCUUUGCUCUGGAGGAACUGAUGUCCAAAUACUCUGCCUUAGGUUGUCCUCACGUGCUCUUAGAGUGGUUCUUCUGUGAAGAUACUUUUCUGGACACUGGAAAUAUAGGUGUGGACAAGACAGACAACGUUUUGAUCUCAGCGCAGAGAUCCUUUGACUACAAGGGGUGGGGAAGUCUGACGUGGAAGCUGCCUGCCAGGAAAGUGUAUUUAGGUGAAAGAGAGAGGGAAGGGGAGGAAGAAACAAUUGACCUCUGUUUCCUGAGUCACAAAGUUGGCAACAGGCUCUGCUGAGGGAAGAGAGAACAAAUCAAAGCCUUGUUCCCAGCUGGCACUGCCCACCAAAACCUCUUCAGGGUAAAGAGUUCUGGAAGAAGCUGUUCAGAUUCAUUUUUACUAUACCAAGUAUGUGUGUGUGCUUUGGAAGUGGGAGGCACUUGGAAGAGGGUUUUUUUUUUUUUUUUUUUAAGCUGCCUUUUCCAUAGUUUUCCAUUUAAGGGCUUUUGACAUCUACCUUCCUAGGGAUUCCUAAUUCAUUCUUUCUGAUGUUCUACUGCACACUGUCCUUUCUCUCUCCUGCUCAGGCUCCUUCUAGUUUGUCUCUCUUCUAGAUUCCUUAUGUUUGGCCUCAGAGUCACUUUCAUCCAAAAAGAUCUUUUUUUUUGAUCCAUCCUAGGCUGACAUCAGUCAGGCCUUCUUUCUUUUUUUUUUUUUUUUUUUUUUUUUUUUUAAUUCUCAUAGAGGCUUUGUGUGCAGAAAACAAUACUUACAGUAGCCUGUGUUACCACUAACGUUCCAUCUACUACAGUUAUAAACUGAAAAACUUGCUUUUCCUAAACUAUUAAGUACAAUUGCAAAAAUCUAGUAAAUUAAGAAUUUUUAGGUUAGAAUUAAGCAAAGUGUGCUUUAACGUUAGGUUAGCUUAGUACACUUUUCAUUUACAAAAAAACGUGCAUAGUUCUUCAGACACUACAUGUAAACAACACUUUAUACUUUAAGCAUAUAUAAUUCAACAAAUGGAUGUAUAAAUCCAAUAAUUUGACAUUGCUAUAUAUUUGAAGACAUUUUACAGACCUGGUGACUUACAGUCCUGUAAAUAUUUCCACCAUAGUCUCAUGUCAAAUGAUGGAUUUCCUUAAGAAUCAUAAGCAGCUAAAAAAGAAGACAUACAAACCCCAUAAACAAAACCUUUCUAAACACAUAUACAACUAUAAAUCAAAUAAUAAUAAAAACAUAAACAGUUGAUCCUUGAACAACCCAUACUUGAACUGCACAGAUCCACUUACAUAUGGAUUUUUUUCAGUAAAUACAUACUACAGUACUAUGUAUGGUUGAAUUCAUGGAUACAGAAUGGCAGAUAAAAAGUGGUGGGCUUGGGGGUCAGCGCCCCUAACUCCCGCAUUGUUCAAGGGAGGCUGUACAUUUACAUAUGAUUCUCAUGAGAAUUUCAACAUCUUAAAAC